rnacentral:lncRNA from 1 species
ACCUUAAUGGCGUAGCAUAUAGCCGCAUUAUGGUGUGACGUGAGCGUUGGACGUAAGCGUAGUAGCCCUAUUUGAGUGUUUAAUUCAUAUAGGGGGUAUGGACACAUAUUUAUACACCCGUCUGUCCACCUUGAUGGCGUAGUGUAGCACCGCAUUAAGGCGUGACGUGAGCGUUGGACGCGAGCGUAGUAGCCCUAUAUAGACCCAUGAAUUUAUAUAGGGAGUAUGGACGAGUGUAAAUACAUACAUAUAUUAUAGAGUCUGAGAGGCUCGAACUUUUAUGGGAUAAAAGUUUUAUCGCUUGUGGCAUGCAUUCGAUUUUUUUUCCUUAGAAAUUAAUUUGGGGAAACAUAAAUAUUUUAUUUAUUAUUUUAUUUUUGUCCACUCACUCUAACGUUAUUAAAUGUUUUCCCCUGGGCCAUUCGUUUUAAAUUACCCAGUCUGCAGAGUUCGGGUUGGAUCUAGUAGGAGACGAGGCAUAGUCACCCGCUUUUCUGCCAGUUUUCAUCAGUAGGUUACCUGUUCAACCUACUCGUGUUUCCUUGUUUCCGCUUGUGUUUAGUAGCUCUGAAUACUUUGGGAUUAUUGUAUAUUAUGUGAGGUUCGGAAGUGUUGAAUUAAGAGUGUAAUAUGAAAUUUUCGAGUUAGGGUUGUCCAUCUGCAAGGGAGAUUUUCUUAAUCUUUUCAGUAAAUUUUCCUUGGAGGUGGUCCCCGCACGACUUACUCUGGGUUUCAGGGUGAAAUUCGGGGUGGGUCGUGUCAGUACUUCUAUCUCAUAGACAAUAAUCGAAACAUACUUAAGCAAAUACCUAAAGCAAACAAAAACAAGAACAAACACAUAGCAAUCCGAAAAUAGAAGAUGAAAUACACUCUCAAAAUAUCCCUACUUGUUCUAUUCUUCGAGUGCGCGGAGUCCUAGGCUACGUGCUUUGGACGAAUGCUGAAGGUGGGAUCGGAUUGUGGUGUUUGGAGGUUGAUGAAGUUUCGGCAAAGGCUUUGGUGUUAUUUGCACGGGUUGAUGAUGCCCUUCUGUCCUUGAAGUCGUGCUUUAUAUAGAGGAAAAACCCUAGAGAAGUCGGCCACAAAGCCUAAACCAAAUUGGUUUAGGAUUCCUAGUUUUUCUCCCUUUCGGCAGAAUGACCUCUGUCAGAUGAUUGCAUCAUAACUCCCACUAGAAAACAGAUAUUGAGGUGAUUCCAAUUGAUUUGGAAACUAGACUCCCGUAGCUUUCUAUCCAUAUCUGGCACGUUUUCUGAUUCAUUGUGAGCUGUCCUGGAGAGUCCGUUGAAGUUGACAGACGUGCACAGGAAUUCUCCCGAUUUAAUCCGGAUU